rnacentral:rRNA from 1 species
AAGGGAAAAGUGGCGGAGCAGGGGGAGUGGGGUUUUGCGUAGGGGUAGCGGCCGGUCCGGUACCUUGGAUAAGACGAGUAGAGGGUAGAACCUGUGCGUGAUUGGCCUUCAACGUCCACGCGCUGCUUCAAAAAUUAGAGUUGUUUGGGAGUGGGCCCUAAGUGCGAGGAAAAUGUCUUCUAAGCUAGCGCCGGCCAGAGACCGAUCGCGAGAAUUUGAAAGAACGAUAGACGACUAGCAACGGGAAAGAGAAUGUACAGAUGACUAUUUUUGAGGGGUCUUCCAGCUUUAAGGCUUGAGAUAGUUUACGGUGGUCUAUGAAGGGUUUUCUCGUUCGGAGGCCUCAUAAAUGGGAACCUACUAAUAUCUUGGGAAUACUUCGGCAUGAGCGGUACAUGUGGUGGAGUAGCCGCGGGUUCGGUAGGGACUUUGCCGAGGAAUGCAAGGAGUCCGCGGCUAGCCGGGACGUCGUGAAAUCGGGCUACAGAGUUUCAGGCUUAGCCAAGCAUCGGGCGGAAAACAGCGAUUAAUUUACGGGAUGAUUGAGACUUCAGGUGGCCGAUGCGCACCCAAAAGUUCCCACCUUCCGUUUAUUUUCAUAGCAUAGCGGGGGGUGCCCCCCCAAACGUUCAACUAUGCCUAAAAAGUCUUUGAGCCGGAAGUUAAAGACGGGCGGCCCUCAACCAUUUCCCCAAUCUUCAUUCCGGAAGCCAGAAUUUGGUCCAAGACGCGGAUGGAUUACCCAAAGCUAUUAAAUCCCGUAAGUGACGCAAAUUUCCUUAGGAUUUAACAAGCGUUUUUAGAUUUUUAUGAGC